rnacentral:rRNA from 1 species
GGCGGAGGAUGCAAGUGUUAUCCGGAAUCACUGGGCGUAAAGCGUCUGUAGGUGGUUCAAUAAGUCAACUGUUAAAUCUUGAGGCUCAACUUCAAAAUCGCAGUCGAAACUAUUGGACUCGAGUAUAGUAGGGGUAAAGGGAAUUUCCAGUGGAGCGGUGAAAUGCGUAGAGAUUGGAAAGAACACCAAUGGCGAAAGCACUUUACUGGGCUAUUACUGACACUGAGAGACGAAAGCUAGGGUAGCAAAUGGG